AGAACGAACGCUGGCGGCAUGCCUAACACAUGCAAGUCGAACGAGACCUUCGGGUCUAGUGGCGCACGGGUGCGUAACGCGUGGGAAUCUGCCCUUGGGUACGGAAUAACAGUGAGAAAUUACUGCUAAUACCGUAUGAUGUCUUCGGACCAAAGAUUUAUCGCCCAGGGAUGAGCCCGCGUUGGAUUAGCUAGUUGGUGGGGUAAAGGCCUACCAAGGCGACGAUCCAUAGCUGGUCUGAGAGGAUGAUCAGCCACACUGGGACUGAGACACGGCCCAGACUCCUACGGGAGGCAGCAGUGGGAAUAUUGGACAAUGGGCGAAAGCCUGAUCCAGCAAUGCCGCGUGAGUGAAGAAGGCCUUAGGGUUGUAAAGCUCUUUUACCCGGGAAGAUAAUGACUGUACCGGGAGAAUAAGCCCCGGCUAACUCCGCGCCAGCAGCCGC
rnacentral:rRNA from 1 species